rnacentral:lncRNA from 1 species
CAAUGUUUUUAUUUCUAUGCAGUUUCUUUCUAUGUGGUGUUCCUUCCCCUGCCUCAGCUCCACAUUGCUGUUUCCUGAGAGUGGGAGUAUCUUCAUAGUAGGGAACAAAGCAUCAAAGUCCAUCUAAUAGACAAAAUUCUGUCUCAACCCAGUGAAGAGGCUAAUGAUGUUCUGUUAAUGCUCACUUUUGUUUAAAAAAUUAGUAUUAGAUUUAAGUAAGUCUAUCAUUUUCUUCCAGGAGAAAGAAGCACCUAGUGACCACUCUGUAGAAUUAGCAGUCCAGGAUUCUGUCAAGUAUGGAUUUUGACAAAUAGAGAUUGCAUGAAUUAACUGGAGAAACAGCCCAACAAUAUAAAAGUGGAAAAACAGUAAUAAAUAUGAACAGGAAGGAGAGAUCUGAUGGGUAACCUUAGCUCAUCUAGAUAUUCACAGUCUAAAAGGAGUCAGCAUCACAAGUAUGAUUCCUGCAUAAGUCUGUUUCCUGUUAUGUAUUGUUGCAAUCAGUAUCCUUAAUCCCAGAUUUUCAAAGAGCAAUCUUCCUGCAUCAAAUUCUAAGUGAGGUUGAGAGGAUUCUGAAGGUACAUUGGCACAUUAUUUUCACAUUUCCAGAAGACAGAUUAUGUUGAAGUACAUGUGCUGAUUGAGAACAUUAUGAACACAAAGAACAGAAUUUAUUUUAUAAGGUGAGCCUUUUCUGUCUCCCAAGAGAGGGGUCCAUAUCAUGUUGUCCUGGGUUCCCAUCAGAACUCAAAGGGACAUUUCCAUAAUGACUAUAGAUCCUGAUAUCCUGCAUAUGAAGAAAGAAGUUUCCCUUAAAUUCUUUGCAGUAAAAGAACCUGCUCUUAGGAGACACUAGCUUUGACCUCCAAAUGGAGCAGUCCAUGUUCAAAGCAAAGGUGAUGGCAUCUACAGCAUAUAUCUGAGCAGGAUCUGGGAGAAAAUUCUAUUGGC